UGCAGUCGAACGGUAGCAGCAGAGCUUGCUCUGGCUGACGAGUGGCGGACGGGUGCGUAACGCGUGGGAAUCUACCUUAUAGUGGGGGAUAGCCCGGAGAAAUCCGGAUUAAUACCGCAUAAUCUCUACGGAGCAAAGUGGGGGAUCUUCGGACCUCACGCUAUUAGAUGAGCCCGCGUUAGAUUAGCUUGUUGGUGGGGUAAUGGCUCACCAAGGCAACGAUCUAUAGCUGGUUUGAGAGGAUGAUCAGCCACACUGGGACUGAGACACGGCCCAGACUCCUACGGGAGGCAGCAGUGGGGAAUAUUGGACAAUGGGCGCAAGCCUGAUCCAGCAAUACCGCGUGUGUGAAGAAGGCCUGAGGGUUGUAAAGCACUUUCAAUAGAGACGAAAAGCUCAGGGUUAAUAACCCUGAGUCUUGACUUAACCUAUAGAAGAAGCACCGGCUAACUCCGUGCCAGCAGCCGCGGUAAUACG
rnacentral:rRNA from 1 species